rnacentral:rRNA from 1 species
GAUGAACGCUGGCGGCGUGCCUAAUACAUGCAAGUCGAGCGAAUGGAUUAAGAGCUUGCUCUUAUGAAGUUAGCGGCGGACGGGUGAGUAACACGUGGGUAACCUGCCCAUAAGACUGGGAUAACUCCGGGAAACCGGGGCUAAUACCGGAUAACAUUUUGAACCGCAUGGUUCGAAAUUGAAAGGCGGCUUCGGCUGUCACUUAUGGAUGGACCCGCGUCGCAUUAGCUAGUUGGUGAGGUAACGGCUCACCAAGGCAACGAUGCGUAGCCGACCUGAGAGGGUGAUCGGCCACACUGGGACUGGAACACGGCCCAGACUCCUACGGGAGGCAGCAGUAGGGAAUCUUCCGCAAUGGACGAAAGUCUGACGGAGCAACGCCGCGUGAGUGAUGAAGGCUUUCGGGUCGUAAAACUCUGUUGUUAGGGAAGAACAAGUGCUAGUUGAAUAAGCUGGCACCUUGACGGUACCUAACCAGAAAGCCACGGCUAACUACGUGCCAGCCGCCGCGGUAA